rnacentral:rRNA from 1 species
GUCGAGAAUCUUUCACAAUGGGGGCAACCCUGAUGGAGCGACGCCGCGUGGAGGAUAAGAUCUUCGGAUUGUAAACUCCUGUCAUGCGUGAACAAGGUUGCUUGGUUAAUACCUGGGCAAAUUGAUGGUAACGCAAGAGGAAGAGACGGCUAACUCUGUGCCAGCAGCCGCGGUAAUACAGAGGUCUCAAGCGUUGUUCGGAAUCACUGGGCGUAAAGGGUGCGUAGGCGGCGUGGUAAGUCAGAUGUGAAAGCCCGGGGCUCAACCUCGGAACUGCAUCCGAUACUGCCAUGCUAGAGUACUGGAGAGGUGACUAGAAUUCUCGGUGUAGCAGUGAAAUGCGUAGAUAUCGAGAGGAAUACCAAAGGCGUAGGCAGGUCACUGGACAGUUACUGACAUUGAGGCACGAAGGCCAGGGGAGCGAACGGGAUUAGAAACCCCUGUAGUCA